rnacentral:rRNA from 1 species
CCUACGGGUGGCAGCAGUGAGGAAUAUUGGUCAAUGGGCGAGAGCCUGAACCAGCCAAGUCGCGUGAGGGAGUACUGCCCUAUGGGUUGUAAACCUCUUUUGUCGGGGAGCAAAAGCCGGACGUGUCCGGCUGUGAGAGUACCCGAAGAAAAAGCAUCGGCUAACUCCGUGCCAGCAGCCGCGGUAAUACGGAGGAUGCGAGCGUUAUCCGGAUUUAUUGGGUUUAAAGGGUGCGCAGGCGGAUGUUUAAGUCAGCGGUAAAAUCGUGGGGCUCAACCCCAUCCAGCCGUUGAAACUGGGGAUCUAGAGUGUGCGGGAGGUAUGCGGAAUGCGUGGUGUAGCGGUGAAAUGCAUAGAUAUCACGAAGAACCCCGAUUGCGAAGGCAGCAUACCGGUGCACAACUGACGCUCAGGCACGAAAGCGUGGGUAUCGAACAGGAUUAGAUACCCCAGUAGUC